UACGGAGGGGGCUAGCGUUGUUCGGAAUUACUGGGCGUAAAGGGCGCGUAGGCGGCUUUGUAAGUUAGAGGUGAAAGCCCGGAGCUCAACUCCGGAACUGCCUUUAAGACUGCAUCGCUAGAACGAUGGAGAGGUAAGUGGAAUUCCGAGUGUAGAGGUGAAAUUCGUAGAUAUUCGGAAGAACACCAGUGGCGAAGGCGACUUACUGGACAUCUGUUGACGCUGAGGUGCGAAAGCGUGGGGAGCAAACAGG
rnacentral:rRNA from 1 species